AUGUGCUUUAUUUCGUUAUUGUUCGUCCGUCUCAGCCCGAACCUUUACAACCCUCGAUGUUACUCUGUCUGUCUCCGCCCGUAUCCUCCCGUCUCCGCCCAUUUCUCCAAUGAACGCAUCCGCCUACGAACGUUGUCCACCGUUCGCCCUCCCUCCGCCGUCUCCUCGCAGAUUCACCGUCUCCUCACAGAUCCUCCGCCUACGAACGAUGCCCUACCAUCACAGGCCGCCGAAUCUCCAGUCGUCAUAUUUGCCGGUUGCACGAAGACGGAGGCGUUUCUCCAGCUGUCACACUGUCGCCGUCUUUGA